rnacentral:lncRNA from 1 species
CGGGGCCAGCCGGGCCCGGCGCCCACGCCCGCUGGGCAGGGGUGGGGAGAACGGCGCGGACGCGGCGCCCUCGGGUGCGCCCGGACCCCACACCCCGGGUUUUUCAGAACGACCCAGAGUGAGAGCAGGCAGGAGGAGUAGUCUGCGCCAGAGGAAAGGAGAAGGAGCAGGAGAGGGCUGCUGAAGGGACCCAAACAGACACUGCUCCCCGAAGCCUCUGCGGGCCAGAAGGCACCAGCAGCACCCAGAGAGGAAGAGCUGAUACUGUGUGCGGCCCUACCCUGGGCUCCGAGCAGCCUCAACGAGAAGGAAGCCCUCCUGGAGCUCCCAGGCUGGGACAGGAGCCCCUCUGGCUCCCAUGCACCUGACUCCCCUCCACGCUGCACUGGCAUGGUCUGUUAACUUUCAUUCUUACAUCUGUCAGUAUUAGUGGGGAACCUAGUUCUUCUAAGCGAAAGUGCUGGGACUAGAGCAGAAACCAGUCACCUUUAACCCACCAGGAAGACCAACGGGUCUGUGGGUGAGGAUUUGGGGGAAACCACAGCUGCGCAGCUAUGGCCCCAGGUCUUCCAGGUACUGCCUGUCAGGUGGCAGCUGGAGAUGGAACAGGGAGGACUUCAGUAGCCGGGGACUGGCAGAGCACCUGCUCUUCAAUGAGUGUCCGACAUCAUGUGAUCUUGCAAAGCCAGCUCAGGCUUCCUCACAGCAUGGUGGCUCUGGGGCAGGCAGCCACUGACAAGGCAGCUGGCCACCACUGAGAGCUCCCGAAGAGAAUAAACCACGAGACAUAGUAUUUUCAUGACCUAGGCUUAGCUGUAAAAAGUGUCACUUCUGACACAUUUGUUGUUGUUCCUGUUGUACUGGGAAUUGAAUCCAGGGCCUUUGCACUAAGCUACA